CAGCAGCCACGGGAAUACGAAGGGGGCGAGCGUUGCUCGGAAUGACUGGGCGUAAAGGGCGCGUAGGUGGCGUGCACAGUCAGAUGUGAAAUUCCUGGGCUCAACCUGGGGGCUGCAUUUGAUACGUGCGUGCUAGAGUGUGGAAGAGGGUCGUGGAAUUCCCAGUGUAGAGGUGAAAUUCGUAGGUAUUGGGAAGAACACCGGUGGCGAAGGCGGCGACCUGGUCCAUUACUGACGCUGAGGCGCGAAAGCGUGGGGAGCAAACAGGAUUAGAGACCCCCGUAGUCCCUGUCUCUUAUAC
rnacentral:rRNA from 1 species